GUAUGGCCGUCCUUUUACCCUUAUGACGGACCAUAACCCCCUUGUGUGGCUAAACCGGGUUGCUGGCAACAACCCCAGGCUAUUACGGUGGAGCCUAGCCCUUCUACAAUGCAAUACCGGCCGGGCAAACAAAACGGUACUGCGGACCGUUUGUCGCGACAGACUGAGCUGGACUCCUAAUUUACUUUUCCCGGACAUCCCCAAGCCAACCCGACAGCAUCUAGGUGGGUAUGCCGUCCCAUGGGACGAAAGGGGAGCAGUGUGAAGAAAU